CAGCCGCCGCGGUAAUACGGAGGGAGCUAGCGUUGUUCGGAAUUACUGGGCGUAAAGCGCGCGUAGGCGGUUACUCAAGUCAGAGGUGAAAGCCCUGAGCUUAACUUAGGAAUUGCAUUCGAUACUGGGAAGCUAGAGUAUGGGAGAGGAUGGUAGAAUUCCAGGUGUAGCGGUGAAAUGCGUAGAGAUCGGGAGGAACAUCAGUGGCGAAGGCGGCCAUCUGGGACAACACUGACGCUGAGGCACGAAAGCGUGGGGAGCAAACAGGAUUAGAUACCCGCGUAGUCCCUGUCUCUUAUAC
rnacentral:rRNA from 1 species